CAGUAGCCGCGGUAAAACGAAGGGUGCAAGCGUUAAUCGGAAUUACUGGGCGUAAAGCGUGCGUAGGCGGUUUGUUAAGUCUGUUGUGAAAUCCCCGGGCUCAACCUGGGAAUGGCAAUGGAUACUGGCAAGCUAGAGUGUGUCAGAGGAUGGUGGAAUUCCCGGUGUAGCGGUGAAAUGCGUAGAGAUCGGGAGGAACAUCAGUGGCGAAGGCGGCCAUCUGGGACAACACUGACGCUGAGGCACGAAAGCGUGGGGAGCAAACAGGAUUAGAUACCCCCGUAGUCCCUGUCUCUUAUAC
rnacentral:rRNA from 1 species